UUUUAUUUCUUCUACUUUGAUGUGUACAC
rnacentral:piRNA from 1 species